AGGGUGUAAACGCUGCCGACUUGGUGUUGGAGGCCCUUCGGGGGCAUUCAGUGCCGGAGAGAAGUUGUUAAGUCGGCCACUUGGGAGUACGUCCGCAAGGAUGAAACUUAAAGGAAUUGGCGGGGGAGCACCGCAACGGGAGGAGCGUGCGGUUUAAUUGGAUUCAACACCGGAAACUCACCAAGGGCGACUGUUACAUGAAAGCCAGGUUGAUGACCUUACUAGAUUUUCAGAGAGGAGGUGCAUGGCGUCAGUGACU
rnacentral:rRNA from 1 species